rnacentral:rRNA from 1 species
GAUGAACGCUAGCGGCAGGCUUAACACAUGCAAGUCGAGGGGCAGCGUGGAGUAGCAAUACUCUGAUGGCGACCGGCGCACGGGUGAGUAACGCGUAUCCAACCUUCCCCAUAGUAGGGAAUAGCCCGGCGAAAGUCGGAUUAAUGCCCUAUGUUGUAUUAUGAGGACAUCUGAGCAAUACCAAAGAUUUAUCGCUAUGGGAUGGGGAUGCGUCUGAUUAGGCAGUAGGCGGGGUAACGGCCCACCUAGCCGACGAUCAGUAGGGGUUCUGAGAGGAAGGUCCCCCACAUUGGUACUGAGACACGGACCAAACUCC